rnacentral:rRNA from 1 species
CCUACGGGUGGCUGCAGUGGGGAAUAUUGGACAAUGGGGGCAACCCUGAUCCAGCCAUGCCGCGUGUGUGAAGAAGGCCCUCGGGUUGUAAAGCACUUUCAGUGAGGAAGAACGCCUGGUGGUUAAUACCCAUCAGGAAAGACAUCACUCACAGAAGAAGCACCGGCUAACUCCGUGCCAGCAGCCGCGGUAAUACGGAGGGUGCGAGCGUUAAUCGGAAUUACUGGGCGUAAAGCGCGCGUAGGUGGCUUGAUAAGCCGGUUGUGAAAGCCCCGGGCUCAACCUGGGAACGGCAUCCGGAACUGUCAAGCUAGAGUGCAGGAGAGGAAGGUAGAAUUCCCGGUGUAGCGGUGAAAUGCGUAGAGAUCGGGAGGAAUACCAGUGGCGAAGGCGGCCUUCUGGACUGACACUGACACUGAGGUGCGAAAGCGUGGGUAGCAAACAGGAUUAGAUACCUUAGUAGUC